UCCCUGGUGGUCUAGUGGCUAGGAUUCGGCGCUUUCACCGCCGCAGCUCGGGUUCGAUUCCUGGUGAGGGAA
rnacentral:tRNA from 1 species